AAAGGGAAAAUCCUCAAGCUUGAGUCAUCAGAUGCAGAGGCUUUAUCAGGAGAGAUGAAAGGUGAGGUAGCCUUGAGAUGAUCACGAUAGAAGGUUGGUCCUCAAGACCAGAUCUUCAGGAUGGUUUCAAUUUUCCUUCAUGGCGAUGUCCUAGUAACAGGAUAAGGGUGAAGCUGGUGAGUAGGCCAUGCGAAGAAGACGAUAGGAAUAUUAAUAUUGUUGAAUCCAAGAAGAUAGUUUCCUCAUGUUGUCUUAAAGAUUGAAGGUGGAGAGGAUGACAAUGAAAUAAGAGAGAAAAUAAGCAACAUCACCCUUAUCCUCUUAUUGGGGCCUCCCCAUGAAGGCAGCUUGAAACCAUGUUGAAGAUCUGCUCCUGAGGACUCACUUUCUGCUGUGAUGAUCUCACAUUUCAGAAUAGCCAUCUGUCCUUUCAUCUCUCAUGAUAAACCCUUUGCAUCUUAUCAUUAACGCUUGAGGAUAUUCCCUUGAAGAAUCUUCUUAUCUUCUGACCCUCUUUCUACAAUUGGAGAUUUGUUGUAAGCUUUGAAAGAUUGAAAGAUUUCACAAAGUACGGAAAGUUCAGCUGGUUCAGGUUCUUGGCAUUCCGGAGUGCGAAUUUCCCACAAAAUAUCUGAUAUAUCAGAUGUUUAAAGGGAGAGUUAAAAACGAUUUGUUGCUGCCUUUGGUUAACAAAUACAAAGUGGAACUGGAAGGUUGGAAGGGGAAACUUCUUUCAAUCGAAAAAGGGUGGAGUUGGUGAAAUCAGUAUCAACGAGUUUUGCACUUCUCAGUGUAUCUAUGGCCAUCUUCUAUUAUUAAAACCAUUGAGAAGUAGAUAAAAUAACUUCUAUGCUGAGUUUCUUGGGUUGAUGGAAGACCUUUACAGGGCAAGAUCUCGUGCCAUUCUGAAGCUUUGGAUAGAGUCUACUUGGAAGUUGUGGUGAUGGCAGUUCAGGGAAAUCGCAUUCCUUAGUUUGUGAUGCAAGAAUGGAUUGGCAUUGCUCAAUUUCUUUCCUCUAUUGAGUGAAAAAUAUCUCAUUGCUUUAGGGAAGGAAAUGUCGUUGCAAACUUCCUUGCAAAGCAUACUGCAAAAAUUACUCUCGGGAAGUGUUAGUUCUUUCCCUUCUCAUAUCAAGGAUAAAAUGAUGCAUGAUGCUGUGACCAGGCCCUCUUUUCAGAUUUUAUUAUUAUUGUUUGGUAAUUCCCUACUGAUGGCAAUGUCGAAAGUGGGGAAUUACCAUUCAUUUCGUUGUACUAUUUUUUAAUUUUCUGAUUUUUAAUAAAAAAUUCCUGGAUCUUUAGCGAAAAAA